rnacentral:rRNA from 1 species
UGGGGAAUAUUGCACAAUGGGCGCAAGCCUGAUGCAGCCAUGCCGCGUGUAUGAAGAAGGCCUUCGGGUUGUAAAGUACUUUCAGUCGGGAGGAAGGUGGUAAGGUUAAUAACCUUAUCAAUUGACGUUACCGACAGAAGAAGCACCGGCUAACUCCGUGCCAGCAGCCGCGGUAAUACGGAGGGUGCAAGCGUUAAUCGGAAUUACUGGGCGUAAAGCGCACGCAGGCGGUUGAUUGAGUCAGAUGUGAAAUCCCCGGGCUUAACCCGGGAAUUGCAUCUGAUACUGGUCAGCUAGAGUCUUGUAGAAGGGGGUAGAAUUCCAUGUGUAGCGGUGAAAUGCGUAGAGAUGUGGAGGAAUACCGGUGGCGAAGGCGACCCCCUGGACAAAGACUGACGCUCAGGUGCGAAAGCGUGGGGAGCAAACAGG